AAAAAACAACAACAAACCAUUCGUCCUGCAAACCCGACGAUCGAUUUUAAAGCCACCUUCGUUAAGGACAGGAGAGAAAAAGGAAAGUUUGAGGUUGGGUGAAACCUUUAUUUAAUCACUAAGAAGCUACAAGUAAGACGAGAUUCCGAGUUCCUUGUUUGUAACUUUUUAGGGAUCCGAUAGAGAACUUGCUCAGUCUGGGACGUCGUUGCUGUAAAUAGAUUAUACCGCAAUAUACAGAUAUAGGUAUAGGGACUUCAACCUCAUUCCUCCUGCAUCUGGCAUGAAAUCAGUCUUUGAGCCUUCGACAUUGCAGAAGUUAACCGUGCCAGAAUGGAUACAUCAAGUCUUCCGAUUCUUAACAAAGCCUUGGAUAUCUGAUACAGAGAUGCAUUGCUUCACACAGGCAACCAGUGCAACAUGACGGACAUAAUGCAAAGAAUUUCCCUUUCCAAGCCACAUGUAGACCAGGGGAUGUAUAGAACAUUGUACAUGGUCGACUACAAGCCCUAUGCGGAACAUCAUCAGUGGCGUCCCAUGAUGGACCCUUCACAGAGACUAAAACUGGAAGCCCAGCUGAAGGAGAAGGAGCUUGCAAGGCCUGUUCAGAAGAAACCGGUGAAAUAUGUUGAGGAGCCUGGCUGUCAAGAAGUUCAGCCACCUUAUCCUGUAGGAAUGGUUGGGAGGGCCUCAAAAGGCCUAGAAGCUCCACCGCCAAACCAACAAGCCCAAGAAGAACAAUGGAACCACUCCCUUCCUCUUGCUGAUCCAACUGCAAUUCAAGAAAAGGAAGCUGAGAGAUUAGCUCAGCUGGCAGAUGCUAUUGCUCUGACAGGUAAAGAGGCAUGGGACCCUUUCCCAUUCAGGCCCUUCAACCUUUCAUUCAUAUGUGGUUUGGAGUGGGAACAAGGAAACAAGUGUAGUGAAUGUAGCUGGCUGCUGUAUAGGGCGGGCCUGCUUGCAAAAUUU
rnacentral:lncRNA from 1 species